GAGCAUACACGGCUUAUGCAUUACUGUUUUUUGAAAAAAACAGUAAUGCAUAAAUGUGGGAGUCUCGACUGCAUAAUUUCUGGUAGUGGGGGACUGCGUUCGCGCUCUCCCCUG
rnacentral:snRNA from 1 species